GACGAACGCUGGCGGCGUGCUUAACACAUGCAAGUCGAACGGUAAACUCCGCUUGCGGGGGGAUCAGUGGCGAACGGGUGAGUAACACGUGGGCAACCUGCCCUCAGCUCUUGGAUAACUCCAAGAACUUGGGGCUAAUACCGCAUAUGACCGCUGACCGCAUGGUCUGGUGGUGGAAAGAUUUAUCGGCUGGGGAUGGGCCCGCGGCCUAUGAGCUAGUUGGUGGAGUAGUGGCCUACCAAGGCGGCGACGGAUAGCCGGCCCGAGAGGGUGGACGGCCACAAUGGGACUGAGGGAGGGCGCAGAGUCGAAUGGGAGGCAGCAGUGGGGAGUAUGGCGCAAUGGGAGAACGUCUGAGGCAGAGACGCCGCGUGGGGAAAGACGGCCUUCGGGUUGUAAACAGCUUUCAGCAGGGACGAAGCGAAAGUGACGGUACCUGAAGAAGAAGCACCGGCCAACUACGUG
rnacentral:rRNA from 1 species